UACGGAGGGUGCAAGCGUUAUCCGGAUUCACUGGGUUUAAAGGGUGCGUAGGAGGGCAGGUAAGUCAGUGGUGAAAUCCCGGGGCUUAACUCCGGAACUGCCGUUGAUACUAUCUGUCUUGAAUGCCGUGGAGGUGAGCGGAAUAUGUCAUGUAGCGGUGAAAUGCUUAGAUAUGACAUAGAACACCAAUUGCGAAGGCAGCUCGCUACACGAACAUUGACUCUGAGGCACGAAAGCGUGGGGAUCAAACAGG
rnacentral:rRNA from 1 species